GGGAGUCUACAGGGGCCUGCAGCAGAGAAUGCAGUGUUAUUACAGCUUGACCCCUGAGCUCUGACCUGCACACCACAGCCUGUAGCCAGCUGUAGCACUGCAGUCAGAACUCUAAGGAGACAUUUCCAUUUUUCCAGCACCAAGACAUUUAAAUUAUUCCAGAACAGACACGCCUGUGACCCACGGACUUUCAACGUUUCCCCCGAAGCUGCUUUGGGGGGCAGGGUGUCUUUCAAGCUAGGCUGGGUGGAGAGAGUCAGAGAGAAAGGGAAUGUCCUCAGAGUUACCGAAUUAACCUGGAAUGAGAGAAACCAUGUCAAUGGGGGCACACCACGCCACGCAGCCACUCGAAGGGGUGACUUCAGAAACCUGGGAAAGCCCUCGUCCUCUAAAAGCAACUUCCUCCCUCUCUGCCCUUCUAGCACAACCCCAAGGCCUUUCACUUUAGGUUUAAGUAACCUCUAAGAAGGCAGCUCUCCAGGGAAGAGUAAACCAUUAAUCAUUUAUAACUAAGAGGUUGCCUUGAGUAGGGUGGAAAGUAGAGAGAUCAGCAUAAGGAGAGCUGGGGUUACCAGAGGCAGAUGUUCUGGGUCUCCCCCACUUACCUGACCCCACGUUAAUAACAGCCUCCUUUAAGGAUCUGGGGGGUCCCCAAGCCUAGAGAGUCAUACCCCUACUCUUCUGCUUGGGGACCCAAAGCUGCCCUGCCCACCACCUGCUACUGAAUCAGGAUCCACCAACUGCUGACUACCACACAGAUGCACUGGAUCCGGGACCGUACCCUGGGCAUGACAGAAGGCCAUCCAAAUAAUAAUCAUUAGUCAAAGCAUCCCUGGCCCAGCUUUACAAUGAGUGAUGAGUAGGGGAGGACAGAGCCGAGUAGUGAGCAGCACUACCCAGCUGCGGUGGCCCAGGGGAAUCCAGUGCACUGAGGCAGGAUCAGGGGAGGCUUCAUGAGGGAGGCAGCAUCUCGGCAGUCUGGAAGGACAGGGUCUCGCAGCUGAAGACAGAGGGGGAGCCAAUAGCAGUUUGUGAAAAUCCUCAGAGACCCUGAGGCUCAGAGAAACCCCCGACGGGGCUGCAGGCUGGGUGCCCAGGCCUCCCCAUUCUUUUCCUGGGAACUGUACCGCCAAACGCAUGUGGACUCAUGCCUAAAAGGCACAGCCCUUGGGAAGGUGGUUCAUCAGGGAACCACCCUCCUGAUGCCCUGGAAAGAGAAGCAACACCCAUCUCUCUGUCUCUCUGCCACCGUGCUUCCUGUUGGCCAUGUCACAAAUGCACUGCCGAUGCAGAGUAAAGAACAGUCCUGACUCACGGGGAUUCCUGGAGCUGGGCUUCUGUGAUGUUCUCCAGCCCCCACCUUAGCUGGCACCUGGCAUGGUGCAGGUAAAUGGGGAGUCCAGGGCAUCCUGGGGCCAGCAUCGAGUGGGGGCCCAUCCUUAUUUGUCUACAUCUGUAGGUUGCCUGGAAACUUGCAGAGUGAAUUCACACUCUAGGUCUCCCCUGAGCCCCACACAACCCUGCAAGGGCAAAAUGGGUGAGCAGGAAUCACUUCAUCUAGAAUUAAGAGACUGAGGUUCUGAGUCUCUGUACCUUGCCCAGGGCCACUCGUGCCCUGGGGCAGGGGCUGUUCCUCCUCCUGGGUCUCUGGCAUCACCCAGGAGAGAGCCUUCCCACAAACGCAGCAUCCUCCAGGCAGGUGAAGAAUCUUGUCUUUUUCCUUUCUCUUCCGGAGCAACUUCCGGUUUCACCAAAUUCUGGUGCCUACAGAGCCGUUCCCGGUAUUCCUUGGGGCUUGGUUGCUCCUGGCCAGGAUGACAUGUUUGUUGGUUGGUUGGUUGGUUGGUUUUCUUUUCCUGUUUUGGUUAUAUGAGGAUUCUUUUUAGUGAUGUCAGACUUCAAAGGGAGCCUCCCCCUGUAGAGAUCACGACAAAACCCACCUUUGUGAUUCUCAUUCCUGUGAGGAACAGACAGCACGUGGGUGCUCCCACGUGCCUGGUCUCCCCCGUGACCUGCAGUCCGUUUUAAGUGAUUUCACAAAGCCCCCUCACUUUCUCUAUUGGGUCCUGUAAUAGUGCCUCAGGAAUCAACAGCUGUCUUCGCCGCCAGGAAGCUGAGCUCCUGGGGACUUCAUUUGUCACUCCCACCCCUUGCCCCCUAAUCUCCGAGGUGCUGCCCGCCUCAUGUCGGCACCCGGGCCCCCUCACGUGUCUGGCUUUCCUCAGAAACUCCCUCAUGCCCCUGUUCUCACUAAGGCACCGAAAACCCCGGCCACAAGGGGGGCGAAGAGAGAUUUAAUUGUAUCUGUGAUUCACAGAACCAAGGCCGUUGGGCUGACCUGGAAACCACACAGUGGGGAGUUUAGAAACUGGUGGCGUAGUCAAAACAACGUUCCUGGUGAAGCUGCUGAUGGAAGUUCCAAGGAACAAAGGUGUAGGCUGCCUUGACAGAUGACCGCACAUGAGGUGGUUUAAAGCAACAGUAAUAGUCACUGUUUCACAGUUCUCGGGGCUCCAAGUCCAAAGCCAAGUUGUCAGCAGAGCCAUGCUCUCACCUAAGGCUCUGGGAAGAAUCUUCCCUGCUUCUGGUGGCUCCCAGGAAUUCCUGACCUUCCUUAAAGGCUCCCUGCCCUGCCCCAAUUUCUGCUUCUGCCGUCACAUGUGUUCUCCCUGUGUCUCUGUGUGUGUAUCCUCUUCUUUCUCUUUUGUACAUUUUUAAAAUUAAAGUAUGGUUGGUUUACAGUGUUGUGACAAUUCCUGCUGUACAGCAAAGUGACCCAGUCUUAUACACACACACACACACACACACACACACUCCUUCCCUUUUUUAUAUUGUCUUCCAUCAUGUUCUAUCCCAGGGGAUUGGAUAGAGUUCCCUGUGCUGUACAGUAGGACCUCAUUGCUUAUCCAUUCUGAAUGUAAUAAGUUGCAUCUACUAACCCCAAACUCCCAGUCCAUCCCAUUCCUUCCAACUCCACCCUUGGCAACCACAAGUCCGUUCUCUAUGUCUGUAAGCCUAUCUCUAUUUUGUAGAUAGGUUCGUUUGUGCCAUAUUUUAAAUUCCUCAUAGAGGUGACAUCAUAUGGUGUCUCCUCUUCUCACAGCGGUCAUGAGUCAUUAGACUUAGAACCUACCCUAAUCUGGAGUAACCUCAUCCUAAAUUCAACGAAUCGCAUCUGCAAGGAUCUUCUUUCCAAAUAAACACACAUUCAGACAUGUCCAGUGGACAGGAAUAUUGGGGGCGGGGGGCACUCCAGGGACCAUGGCUCACUCUUGGUACCCCACACAUCCCCUCCUGCCCCAUCAUGUGGAGCUAGUUGUUCCUGACCUCAAUUUUAGAGUCUCCUGGACUGGGACCUUGGUGCCUAAUGUCGAAUCCUGACCUUUCAAGUUUCAUAUUUGAGGGAACAAAUGGUGCCAGCCUGUGACACACAGCUGGCAUGGCUGGAUGAUUGCUGGAUGUUAAGGUGGAGACAUCGAGGGGGUGGACAAUGGGCAGCACCCAGUCUGCAGAGUCUGGUUAAAGAGUUCUAGCCUAAUAGACCAGUAGACACAUUUCUCUAAAACUACUUCUUAUACCUGAUGCACCCUCAUUGGAGAAAGAAAUGUUGAUUUCAAUAAAGACUAAUAAUAUAGUAAAGGAUAAUAAAUAACGAUUGAAUAAGAUACACAUGUAUCCCAUUCAUAAUAGUCUCUGUCCAUAUGUGGGAAAGGAAGACAAACCCACUAAGGAACAUGGGAGGAACCUCCAUAAGGUGUCCCAAGGACCACACUCAACUUUUGGAGCAGGAAAUCGGGAUGGGGGUUGGGCAACUGUUGGUCUUGGAAAAUUUCAAUGUUCACCAUAGGCUACUAGUGUUCAGAGCAAACAUGGUACCAUUUCAAGAUCUUACAUUCUGGAAUGUUCCUCCACAUCCUCCGCUCCAUCCUGUCUACCCACCUCACUCCUACAGACGGCAGUUGCCACCUCCAUGAGGAAUCCAGAGUUCUCUGGCCACCUCUGCUCUCAAGCCAGUGGGCACCUUGAUAAUCACUGUCCCACCAUGACGGGCCUGACCGGCCUCUCCAUCAUUCCCUGGAGGUCUCCCCAGCAGCCUAUAGCUGCCCAUUCCCAGCAACCCUAUUGCUAGACACUGUGACUGGACCGUGAAGAAACAAAGGGCUUUCAACCCAGUAGUCAGAUGAAUUCCCUUCUACCUUUCAGCAGGUUCUGAGUUCCUCACAUUCAUUAUUUAGUCACACAAAAUACCUGCUGCAAGGUGCCUCCCUUGUAGAAACCCCACAACUUACUUUUCUACUCUAAGUCUUCUAAGUAUUGUUGGAAUCACAAAACCACGUGGACACAAAUUUUUUAUAAUUAUUCUAACCUGUGCAUCAUCGUCUCAGACUUUCCAACUUCCCUAUUUCUGGCAACUAGCCCUUAGUCACCGGGGUUAAAAUUUCAGACUUGACUUCACCUCCACACUCAAUUGUGACUAAGUUUUAUUUACUCUGCCUCCAUCAUGUUUUUAAAAACCCAUCCCUGGCUGUCCAAGAACCCAGUGUGUUGUAGGUCCAAAACACAAGACAGGUUGUGUGAGUGAGAUAAUACAGUGAAAAGACUGUGCAUCAUUACAUAUAUUGUAAAUGGCAUUUAUUUUACACUCAGAAGACAUGUGGCAUGUUAUCAGGUGUUUUGAUAAGCAGAGAAUCCAACAUGUUGAUAACAUAUCAAAAAGCAAAGUGAUUUAGCAGAACUCAAUUUAUUUUAGUAUUUAUUAGUAGUAGUCAUAAUAUUACAUUUAACUAGCUCUAAUUUUAC
rnacentral:lncRNA from 1 species